UCUAAAAAAAAAUUGAAUCCUUCCCCUCUUUACUCCGGCCCAAGGUUCCGGCGCACCUCCGCCGUAGCCCCGCCGGCGGCGGCGGUUGGAGGUGCAAAAUCGGGUCUUUUAGCCCCAUUUGAAGCCGGUCAUUCCCAGGAACCCAGAUUCGAGGUUGGGUUCUUUAAAAGUGGGCCAAAACGAAGGGAAAAUGAGAAAACCGUUCGCUUUUCCCCUUCUCCAGCACGGCGCAGGUGGCACUGGAGCAAGUGGGCAAAAGGUGUGCGGCGACAGUGUCAGAGUUAGGUGGUGUUAGGGUUUUUUUUUUUCUAAAAAUGUUUUUGGGCCUAUUUUGGGUAUUGGAUUUUGUAAUUGGGUUUGGGUAGUUUAGUUGGGGUUAAUUUUUAAUGUACUGGGCUUAUAGAUUGUUAAUUGAUUUUGGUUUGGUUUAUUUGGUAUGGGCCCGGGCAAAUUUGGGCUUCUACAAUACUGAAUGAUAUAUUUCAUUAAAAUAAGAUUUUAAAACAAGUUUGUUCUGAA